GAUGAACGCUGGCGGCGUGCCUAAUACAUGCAAGUCGAGCGAACAGACGAGGAGCUUGCUCCUCUGACGCUAGCGGCGGACGGGUGAGUAACACGUGGAUAACCUACCUAUAAGACUGGGAUAACUUCGGGAAACCGGAUCUAAUACCGCAUAAUAUAUUGAACCGCAUGGUUCAAUAGAGAAAGACGGCUUUGCUGUCACUUAUAGAUGGAUCCACGCCGCAUUAGCUAGUUGGUAAGGUAACGGCUUACCAAGGCAACGAUGCGUAGCCGACCUGAGAGGAUGAUCGGCCACACUGGAACUGAGACACGGUCCAGACUCCUACGGGAGGCAGCAGUAGGGAAUCUUCCGCAAUGGGCGAAAGCCUGACGGAGCAACGCCGCGUGAGUGAAGAAGGUCUUCGGAUCGUAAAACUCUGUUAUUAGGGAAGAAAAACUGUGUGAGAAACUCUGGACGUCUUGACGGUACCUAAUCAGAAAGCCACGGCUAACUUCGUG
rnacentral:rRNA from 1 species